AUAAAUUACAAUAGUUAUAGUUGUAAGAAUAAAAUAUGUUUUUUAUAUAAGUUGAAGAAACAAAUUCAAAAAGCGAAAAGCAAAUAGAGGAAGAGAGUUUGUUUUCAUUGAAAUCAUUAUGUAUAAACAAUCAAGCGCGGUGUACCCCUUGUUCGAUCUGGAACAAGUUCUUCAUUCCAAAAAGGUUUCGUUUUUACCAUUCAUUUCUCUCUUUCAUUUCUUUCCAAUAUGAUCAUGAUUACUUUUUAAUUACUACUACUUUCAUUUCAAUUUCUUCAUCCCUAAUUCUCUCUGCUCCAAUUCAUUGUUUCUUUACUCAUUUUUCACUAGAUUCUGGAGUUUUUAUAUUUUGGCCAAUGUCAUGUCAAAUUAGGGUUUUCUCUUAAUUAGGUUUUUCGGAACAAUGGUAAGGAUGCUCAAGAUGUUGGUGAUAAUAAUGAGAGAGUCAUGUAACUAUGGUCAAGAUGCUUUGUAUACAUUUCAUUGAAACUGGAUUUGAUGUUUGUUGUUGCCUAAUUAGUUAUUAUCAUUGAAUGUGUUUCUGUUUUGUUUUUAUUUUUAGGAAACAUUGAAAUUGACUCCCGAGGAAGCAAAUAUUUGGCUAUCAUGGAAAGCCAAAGCUAGGAGGAAUUUCACCGUCGGUGCCGUCAGUGGGGGUGCUGCCGUAUGGGCAGCUAGUGGGAAACUCAAUGGCCCAUUUCGAAUGUUCCUCUCAUCAGGAGUUGGUGUUUCCUUUGGAACAUGGAUAUUGGUUAGAUCCAUGUAUUCUUUCGCAGAGAAGAUUCUUGAAAUGGAUGGGAGUACACUACAGAAGGAGUUAGCGAAUAUAAUGAUGACUAAGUACCAGAAUGAACCUUCACUAAGGCCACUUAUGUCCAAGCAUUUUUAUUCAGAGAGGAUUUUUGAUGAUUCAACCUCUAAAAAUCCUAACUUCAGAUGGCGGUUCCGUAAUUUCUUUAGCGAUAAUGCAAUCCAUGACCAUAGGACACAUGAUAAUGACUAUUAUGAUGAUACCCAAGUGGACUCAAAUAGCGAUCCUGUUAAAAAUUCCCAAGGUGAGUCUGAAAAUGUCAAUGACAGCAGAAAGACAAAUCUGGAGACUAAGCACAAUUUUACAAAAGCUGGUCCUGAUAACAUGACAGAGCUAGACCCUCUUGAUUUUCUUUUUGGUUA
rnacentral:lncRNA from 1 species